UGGGGAAUUUUGGACAAUGGGGGCAACCCUGAUCCAGCAAUGCCGCGUGUGUGAAGAAGGCCUUCGGGUUGUAAAGCACUUUUGUCCGGAAAGAAAACGUCGUGGUUAAUACCCGUGGCGGCUGACGGUACCGGAAGAAUAAGCACCGGCUAACUACGUGCCAGCAGCCGCGGUAAUACGUAGGGUGCAAGCGUUAAUCGGAAUUACUGGGCGUAAAGCGUGCGCAGGCGGUCCGCUAAGACAGAUGUGAAAUCCCCGGGCUUAACCUGGGAACUGCAUUUGUGACUGGCGGGCUAGAGUAUGGCAGAGGGGGGUAGAAUUCCACGUGUAGCAGUGAAAUGCGUAGAGAUGUGGAGGAAUACCGAUGACGAAGGCAGCCCCCUGGGCCAAUACUGACGCUCAUGCACGAAAGCGUGGGGAGCAAACAGGAUUAGCAUACCCUGGUAGUCCACGCCCUAAACGAUGUCAACUAGUUGUCGGGUCUUCAUUGACUUGGUAACGUAGCUAACGCGUGAAGUUGACCGCCUGGGGAGUACGGUC
rnacentral:rRNA from 1 species